UCUAAGCAGUGGAGAACGGGUAGUUGCUUGGUCCUUGAGGCUGGUGUCUCAAUAGUCAGAGCAGUCCCACAGUGGCUGUCUGAACUUGGAGAGCAGCCCAGGAGGCUGGAUUUCUCAGCAGUCCCUUUCUGGCACUGAAAACCUGGAUGGUUCCUGGAGAGCUGCUGGUCCUCAGUCAAGGCUGGAAGCCUGGAAACAUGGGUUCUGACAUCAGCGAAGCAAUCAGGAACAGCCAAUGAGAUCGAUUAACUCAGCCACCAAAGGCAGCACAAGAUGCCAGAAAGACACAGCUUCUGACACAGCCCACACAUGACAAUAUUUCACCACAACCCAGUCCUGAGCGUUUGAAGGCUGAGAACCCUCAUACCUUGAUAAUACUACUUGGAUGCAAGUGACUUUGUCAACAACACACAAUGAGUGCUAGAUGCAUGGUGUGCCGGGACACAGCGGUGACAGAGACACUGCUCUUGAUCUAGAAGGAACCACACUUGGUACUAACAUAGACAAAUACACAGUGCAUAUACCCUAGGAAAGAGAGAGUUUGCAGGGUGGGUUUUUAAUCAGGAUGAAGCCCAGUGAUGAAGGGAAGAUUACUGUUCAUGGUGGGCCAUUGCGGGGUGGAGGUCCACAUUGCUUAAAUAGUAACACUGAGAAGAAGAAGAAGAAGAAGAAGAAGAAGAAGAAGAAGAAGAAGAAGAAGAAGAAGAAGAAGAAGAAGAAGAAGAAAGGAUUGUUUAACAACUGUUGGCUGGGAGUUUCCCCAACAUCCCAACAAGGAGGACUUACUAAUUAAGAGCUAAAGCACUCACCUGUUAGGAAGCUGUUACACUCACAACUCAUGGCUGAUUUUAUACAUCCGUGUGCAAAGAAUUUCACCAGCUGUCAUUCAUGAACUCAGAUAGUCAUUUGACAAAUAUUUACGGAGCGCCCACUCUGCUUGGGAGAUGUGGAGGUGGACAAGAUAGACAGCAUUCCUGCCUUCCAGAAGCUCUCGUUCUACCAACGGACAAUGAAGACGUCACUAACGAAAUAAAUGCAGUUAUUACAGGGUGUGGUGAUAGUUAUGAAAGAAAGUGUUGUCUGGUGAAGGGUAACUGGGGGAAUCUUCCCAGAAAGAGUGGUGUAAUGUGGGGCUUUCAUUGAUUUAUUUAUGAUGUUUGGACAGUAUCUCGCUAUGUAGCCCUGGCUGGCUGUGAACUCACAGAGAACCACUCGCCUCUGCUUCACAAGUGGUAGAAUUUUAGACAUUUGCCACCAUGCCUGGUCCAAGGCAGGACUUCUUAAACUUCUUUACACACAGUCCCUUUUCACCUGAGAAAUCUUUACAUGACCUCAGGUCUAUACAAAAUAUUUAUACUCAAUAGAUAUACAAAUAAAAAUUUUACUGCCAAUAAAUGA